rnacentral:rRNA from 1 species
UACGUAGGUGGCAAGCGUUAUCCGGAAUUACUGGGCGUAAAGCGCACGCAGGCGGUCUUUUAAGUUUGACGUGAAAGCUCCCGGCUUAACUGGGAGAGGUCGUUGAAUACUGGAAGACUUGAGGAAAUGAGAGGGGUGUAGAAUUCCUGGUGUAGUGGUGGAAUGCGUAGAUAUCAGGAGGAAUACCAGUGGCGAAAGCAGUGUCCUGGGGAGUACCUGACGCUCAGGUGCGAAAGCCAGGGGAGCGAACGGG